rnacentral:rRNA from 2 species
UGCCUAAUACAUGCAAGUCGAGCGAAUGGAUUGAGAGCUUGCUCUCAUGAAGUUAGCGGCGGACGGGUGAGUAACACGUGGGUAACCUGCCCAUAAGACUGGGAUAACUCCGGGAAACCGGGGCUAAUACCGGAUAACAUUUUGAACUGCAUGGUUCGAAAUUGAAAGGCGGCUUCGGCUGUCACUUAUGGAUGGACCCGCGUCGCAUUAGCUAGUUGGUGAGGUAACGGCUCACCAAGGCAACGAUGCGUAGCCGACCUGAGAGGGUGAUCGGCCACACUGGGACUGAGACACGGCCCAGACUCCUACGGGAGGCAGCAGUAGGGAAUCUUCCGCAAUGGACGAAAGUCUGACGGAGCAACGCCGCGUGAGUGAUGAAGGCUUUCGGGUCGUAAAACUCUGUUGUUAGGGAAGAACAAGUGCUAGUUGAAUAAGCUGGCACCUUGACGGUACCUAACCAGAAAGCCACGGCUAACUACGU